rnacentral:rRNA from 1 species
GACGAACGCUCGCGGCGUGCCUAAUACAUGCAAGUAGAACGCUGAAGGAGGAGCUUGCUUCUCUGGAUGAGUUGCGAACGGGUGAGUAACGCGUAGGUAACCUGCCUGGUAGCGGGGGAUAACUAUUGGAAACGAUAGCUAAUACCGCAUAAUAUUGACUAUUGCAUGAUAGUCAGUUGAAAGGUGCAACUGCACCACUACCAGAUGGACCUGCGUUGUAUUAGCUAGUUGGUGGGGUAACGGCUCACCAAGGCGACGAUACAUAGCCGACCUGAGAGGGUGAUCGGCCACACUGGGACUGAGACACGGCCCAGACUCCUACGGGAGGCAGCAGUAGGGAAUCUUCGGCAAUGGACGGAAGUCUGACCGAGCAACGCCGCGUGAGUGAAGAAGGUUUUCGGAUCGUAAAGCUCUGUUGUAAGAGAAGAACGAGUGUGAGAGUGGAAAGCUCACACUGUAACGGUAUCUUACCAGAAAGGGACGGCUAACUACGUG